CCCUUAUUGUUAGUUGCCAGCAUUCAGUUGGGAACUCUAGCGAGACUGCCGGUGACAAACCGGAGGAAGGCGGGGACGACGUCAGAUCAUCAUGCCCCUUAUGACCUGGGCUACACACGUGCUACAAUGUCGUAUACAACGAGUUGCCAACCUGCGAAGGUGAGCUAAUCUCUUAAAGUACGUCUCAGUUCGGACUGCAGUCUGCAACUCGACUGCACGAAGUCGGAAUCGCUAGUAAUCGCGGAUCAGCACGCCGCGGUGAAUACGUUCCCGGGUCUUGUACACACCGCCCGUCACACCAUGGGAGUUUGUAAUGCCCAAAGCCGGUGGCCUAACCUUCGGGAGGGAGCCGUCUAAGGCAGGACAGAUGACUGGGGUGAAGUCGUAACAAGGUAGCCGUAGGGGAACCUGCGGCUGGAUCACCUCCUUUCUAAGGA
rnacentral:rRNA from 1 species